rnacentral:rRNA from 1 species
GACGAACGCUGGCGGCGUGCUUAACACAUGCAAGUCGAACGGAAAGGCCCUGCUUUUGUGGGGUGCUCGAGUGGCGAACGGGUGAGUAACACGUGAGUAACCUGCCCUUGACUUUGGGAUAACUUCAGGAAACUGGGGCUAAUACCGGAUAGGAGCUCCUGCUGCAUGGUGGGGGUUGGAAAGUUUCGGCGGUUGGGGAUGGACUCGCGGCUUAUCAGCUUGUUGGUGGGGUAGUGGCUUACCAAGGCUGUGAUGGGUAGCCGGCCUGAGAGGGUGACCGGCCACAUUGGGACUGUGAUACGGCCCAGACUCCUACGGGAGGCAGCAGUUGGGAAUAUUGCACAAUGGGCGGCAGCCUGAUGCAGCAACGCCGCGUGCGGGAUGACGGCCUUCGGGUUGUAAACCGCUUUCGCCUGUGACGAAGCGUGAGUGACGGUAAUGGGUAAAGAAGCACCGGCUAACUACGUG